rnacentral:lncRNA from 1 species
GGGGGCUUUAAGGAAGCAAAUGGACUUUCAGAACAGAGAUUGUCAAUAAAGAUCCAAUGUGAUAAUUUAUGUGAAAUCUUUCUGCAAACUAUACAGUAUGAUAAAAAUAUAAGGUAGUUUCACUGGAAACAACAGAAGACUAGAAGCUGAUGUGACGUGGCAAUAUCAACCAGGAAUACCCAUCUCGAGUUCUGGAUAUGUGCUCUGAGAAGGUGCCCAUGUCACCGACCACACUGGAGGCCAAUGCAGAUACUGGGGGAAGGUUCCAUGGUAGCUAAGUGUGGACAAGCUAAUCACUGAAGUUCCCUGAUGCAGAGUUGAUAAUCUCUCUAGAGUUGGAUGAAAGACUGUGCUGCCUUGAAGCUCUGAGAGAUGCCAUGCCAAUUCAAGGCAGGGUCUUUAUUGUUGAAACUCUUGCGUAAUGACAUCUUUAUUCAGGUGAAAAUACAGGAUGAAUUUCAACUAUAUGAUAUUGUUUAUGUUCCUCAGACAUGUUAUUUGUCUUUACAAAGAUUGGUUUCAAUAAACUGUGUGACUGAUAUUAAAUAAACAUGGAAUUUUACACAUUCAUAAUAUUUGGUUUCUUGUGAUUUUGAUGAACUAUACUUUCAAGCAUUGUCAGUUCAUCCUCAUUUACAAGGAAACAUUUGCUGUAGCAGAGUGAUGUAGUGACUUGCUUUACUUAAGAUAAGUCAACUUUUCUAUUCAAUGUUUAAUGUGAAACUGACUUAAAAAUUUUCUUUUAGGCCACAUUUACAUUUCUGUUUGUAUAACAUGCAUUAUACUAUUUUAACUUAAUACUAUGGCUAUAUAAACCAAAGACAUCCUAAUUCUGUUUUUAAUUUAUU